CCACAGGAGAGGCCGGCGAGGCCCCGGGUCUGCUGACUCUGGCUGACUUCUCGUCUGGCACUUCCUUCCCAACUCCUGGCUGUGGAUCCUGACCCCCCCACUUGGACAAACAUCUUGCGGCCGUUUCCUCCUCGCCUGCCCGGAGCCCCUGCCUGGCCUGAACAAACACUCGGGACCUGCGCUUCCGGCCUCAGCUCUGGGAAAAGCCCGGCCAGGGGCCGCCGAGAACCUCCCGGUGUGUUGCUGUCAGAGAUUAGGAACCAGGCCCGGGGUGCGGCAGGAGUGGACAGUCUUGACAACGCAAAUGGGCGAAGAUGGUGGACUGUGAGGAGCGAGCUCCCCGCCGCUGGACGUGUGAGCAGAGCCCGCCGGAUGUGCAGCCUGCCGACACUUCCUGGGGUCCGGGGCCAGCUGGUGCAUUAUGGGGGUCACAAAGAUCCAGAUUCCAGUCCCAGCUCCGCUCUGUGCCCAGGCCCUCAGUUUUAUGGGUGUGAAGGGGUCUGAGGGACCUGGCCAAGGAAGGCAACCGGGCCCACGGUGCUCACCCCACUGAGGCGCUGGCGGGGGCACGGGGCCAGAGGCACUGGGUCUCCCCCCAGGCGAGAGGGGUGGCGUCUGGGCGCCUCCUCCACUCAACCCCCUACUUGAAGGCUCUGCCAGAGAAAGCCUCCCAGCUGGGGUUUGAUUUUGAUUUUAUUUUUGUUUUACAGGCAGGAUCUGGGAGUGGAAACAAUGGAAUUAA